rnacentral:lncRNA from 1 species
ACCAAGGAGACCACUUUGAUUCUCCCUACCCCUCCAGAUGCUGCUAGGAAAACUCAAAUGGGAAGCACAGAUGACUGAAAAAUAACAGAUGUGGAACAGGUCUUUCGGAUGCUCAGUAAAAAAAAUAUGUGUUUUAUUUUUUUCUAGUUUAAUGAUGAUGAUGAUGAUGAUGAUUUUUAAUAGAGAGGGGAUCUCACCAUGUUGCCCAGUCUGGUCUCGAGCUCCUGGUCUCAAGUGAUCCUCAUGCCUUGGCCUCUCAAAAUGCUGGAUU